rnacentral:tRNA from 1 species
GGGAAGGUAGCUCAGUGGUAGAGUGCUUGCCUUGCAUGCAUGAGGUCCUGGGUUCGAUUCCUUAGCACCA